GCCUUGUUCGACCGGAGCCUAGGGACCGGAGCAACAGCUGAGUAGGUAGGCGCCGGCCGAGGAGGACCAGAACUACACCCACUAGAGCGGUGAGAGCCAGCAGUGCCAGGAUCAAGAGCCCGAGGUGUCUAUGGGAGACUGAAUCAAGCAGGUAAAGGCGAGCCAUCUCUCGAGUGCCCAUGCUCCCCCCCUCCUCACUCAAGAACUCACCA
rnacentral:lncRNA from 1 species